UAUUUUAGAAAAAAAGAGAACAAGAUUGAAUGUUUUACGGUCAGUUUAGUUAUCCUUUAUCCUUUUCUUUUUUCCAGACUUCAGUAUUGAUGCUCCACCAUCCUUUAAACCAGCUAAGAAGUAUUCUGAUGUUUCAGGUCUUCUUGCCAACUACACGGACCCCCAGAGCAAGCUGCGGUUCAGCACCAUCGAAGAGUUUUCCUACAUUCGGAGGCUGCCGUCCGAUGUGGUCACCGGCUAUCUGGCCCUGAGGAAGGCCACAAGCAUCGUUCCCUGAGCCUGAGAGAUGAGACGAAGUGGAAAACUGUUUCAAAGGCAGAGUUUGGACUCACAGUUUUGUUUCAUGGAAACAAACUCAUUCUGCUGUCAAUCUGAAAAUGCCAGUGUUGUGCCUUGGAAAGAAUGUUUGGCUUUAAUUUAAAGUUUUUUUCUGUUUUCCCUCCAAGUGUGAUAUUUCCCGUUGAAUUAAGUUACACUUCAGUUGUUGCCUCAAGUAAAGUUAUUUGACAAGAAAAUACAAUAAAAUUGUGCUUUUAAUUUAA